GAUGAACGCUGGCGGCGUGCCUAAUACAUGCAAGUAGAACGCUGAAGGAGGAGCUUGCCCUUCUGGAUGAGUUCCGCACGGGUGAGUAACGCGUAGGUAACCUGCCUGGUAGCGGGGGAUAACUAUUGGAAACGAUAGCUAAUACCGCAUGACAACAGUUAUUGCAUGUUAAUCGUUUAAAAGGGGCAACUGCUCCACUACCAGAUGGACCUGCGUUGUAUUAGUUACUUGGUGAGGGUACGGCUCACCAAGGCGACGAUACAUAGCAGACCUGGGAGGGGGAUCGGCCAAACUGGGACUUGGGCAAGGCCCAGGAUCCUACGGGAGGCAGCAGUAGGGAAACUUCGGCCAUGGGCGGAAGGCUGACCGAGGCACGCCGCGUGAGGGAAGAAGGGUCUCGGAUCGGAAAGCUCGGUUGUAAGAGAAGAAAGAGUGUGAGAGUGGAAAGUUCACACUGUGACGGUACCUUACCAGAAAGGGACGGCUAACUACGUG
rnacentral:rRNA from 1 species